rnacentral:rRNA from 1 species
UACGAAGGGUGCAAGCGUUACUCGGAAUUACUGGGCGUAAAGCGUGCGUAGGUGGUUAGUUAAGUCUGAUGUGAAAUCCCCAGGCUCAACCUGGGAACUGCGUCUGAUACUGGUUGGCUUGAAUCCGGGAGAGGGAUGCAGAAUUCCAGGUGUAGCGGUGAAAUGCGUAGAUAUCUGGAGGAACACCGGUGGCGAAGGCGGCAUCCUGGACCAACACUGACACUGAGGAGCGAAAGCCAGGGGAGCAAACGGG